UGUUUUUGUUCUUAUUAUAUUUGUCCAAACAAAUUUACCUUUAGUUGUAUCAGGCAUUAAAAUGAGCAAGAAAUUGAAGAAAACAAGGGUGGUCUAAUAAUUUUUUCCGCGACAGUAGAUCAGUUUGGAGGCAUAACUACGAAGCCACUAUAAUAACUAGCGGUCAAAAGCAGAUGUAUUUGUAACUUGAUCAACAUGUCCAUCCACUGAAAAGCCUCUAUUUAAAACCACACUGCCACUUUUUGAUGCACUGCAACAUAGAAUAUUUGCACCACAUAUGGGCUGAUUGUGAAUUUGUAAAUGUGUUUGGUGUGCAUUGUUGUGAACAGAAGGGGUUUGUUUUGUUGUUGUUUGUGGAGUUUUGGAUUUUAUCAUUAUAUAGCACGCUUAUAGUAGGAUCUUUUGUUCAAGGGAGCACUUAUAGUGUAACUUAAAGAGCUGACUGAUGUGGCUUUAUCAGUACUUUAUACAACGUUAUGCCCUUAGAUGUGUUACUUCAGCUUUGACUCUGGACAGACCCACCUCCACAGAGCUAUUAUCAUCAGCAUUAUUACCAUACCGCUAAUGCAUAAUUAUGUGAUUCUAUCUUUGUUAAUACAGCUAAGCAUCACUUUUAUUUAACUUUUUUUUUUUUUUUUUUUUUUUACUUCUUUUCCUGAAUACAUGUGUAGGAAAUCACUUUGCCUCUUUGGGUGUAGAUGUGUGUAUUGCAGGUGACAAAUCCCAUCCACCUGUGGAUAUAUGUGUGUGCACAAAACUGAAAAUGUGCUGCACUCUGCGAAAUAGUGUUAGCCUUUGUAAAACCCUAUUAAUGUGAUCUAAACGCCUUAUUUUUUAGUAUCUCUGUCAUGGUGACACAUCAUGCACACGGUUGACGUUCCACCGCAUGCACACACCACAGUUUAACCUGACGUGAACAAUGAGUGUAGACAUUAGGAACUGGUAAUUAUGAUUAUUUACAUCAUCUGGGAAUCUGUUGGUUUUUACCCUGUGAAUUGUUUAGUUGAUAAAAUGGGUAUAAACCAACAAGUCACAAUUGGGAUUUUGGAAUUGGCAAAAAAAAAAAAAAAAAUUCUGUCGAUGGGUUUAUUGUUCACUGACUAAUGCACAUUUUUUGGUAAAUUCAAAAUUUCUUUCUAAUGUUAGCAUCACUACUACUUUGGGGUUGUAUGACGUGCUUUUUCACUUUCGGUCUAUUAGCUGGAGUAGAUCAUGGUCAUAACAACCCUUUUUCACAGAAGCUUAGAAAUGAUACACAGCAAAUUCACUUUUUUUGCUUCCAUCCCGUUCUUACAGUUCGUCAGUUCUCCUGUGUGCUCCUCCUAAAUGGGUCUGUUUGACCAUGUUCUAAUGUUAGGCGUGGUGGAAUAGUGGUUAGCACUUCCACCUUAAAGCUAGGGUUUGGACUUGAGUUCCUGGGAUUCUGUGUUAAAUGUGCCUGUUCUCAGCGUCUCAGUGCUGUUGAGGUAUUGUUGAAGGUCUGGAUUUGGUCCCCGAGCACCUUAAGUGGCAACUCACUACUCCUAUUGUGCUAAGUGCUAAUGCUAAUCACUAAUGCUAAUGCUAGGUGGGAGGUGUUUGUGUGGGCUGGGUAAAAUAUGCUAAUUGCUAAUGCUAAUGCUAGGUAGGUGUGUGUGUGUGUGUGUGUGUGUGUGUGGGCUAAGUAAAAUGCGCUAAUUGCUAAUGCUAGGUAUGUGUGGGCUUGGUAAAAUGCAGAUAUCUGAUUUCCCUAAAAAGAUAAUAAAACGAGUUAACCUUAACCUGAUUAUGGAUAAGUGUCUCCUACAGCCCCAUCUCAAAAAAUCCAAACUACCCCUUUAAGUUCUCACACAACUCCUUUUAUUGAUGUUCUAUUAUUUUCACUUUAGCUUUAAUAGUCUGUGGUGAGGUUGAGGCACAUUCAUGUCUUGUAUAAAGUUUCUAUGCGAAAAGAGACACGUGCUUUAAUUCUGCUCAGAGCAGGAGGCACCAGGAACAUGAAGGUGGUUCUUAUCAACCUCCUUUGCUAACCCAGGAUGUACAGCUAUAAUACAGGCUGAAAGCUACAGACCUGGUCUGGAGCAGGUUAGGUUUGCAGGGUAAGACAUAAACCACUAUUGUGAUACAGAAGAUCCAGGGUUAAACCAGAAGUUGCCUCACCAAACCCCUUAAUCCUGCUUUAUAAUACAAGCCCCCAGGACUGUUGUGAUUUACUGUUUUGUUUUAGGGUGUAUCUGUGACUUUGCAUGGCACCUGUAGACUAGACUAGAACACUGUUAAUGGGACGAGGGGACAGGUUGAAGAACAGAGCAUCAUCCUGGGUGAUCCGCAGUCAACGGCGCUUUGUUUUAGCCCAUCUUUUUAUCCUCUGUCGUGAAAUGCUCCAUUCACAAAUGAACUCAAUAGCCAACUAAAGCAGCAAACAGCGCUGGACUGUAAGAUUUCCUCCUAUUUCUGCUACACUAAUACAAUUCUGACAUGGAAAUUAAAGGGAAUCUGUUGCCGAGAGGAUGUUUUCUGUCCGGUUCUAGUGUUUGCUGCUCAGUGUGACUCCUUCAGGCACUAAAUGAGGUUCAGACUCCUGACCUAUACACCUGACUGGGAUGAGCCUUCAGCAUAAAUGCUCGUUGUGUGUGUCUGCAUGUGGAAGGGAUGACGUUUGCUGCUGUUGAGAGUUUCAGGUGGCUUUGCUUAUUGGUGAAAACUGUGUGACUGUGUAUGUGUAUGACAUAGUUAUAUAACAUUAAGUGUCAGACAGUUUUCCUCCAUCUGAAGGCAAUCUGAAGUCAUUACAAAUCACACUGUAAAGCACCAAUGUUGAGAAAAACUUCAGAGUUUAAUGACAAUUUUUCAUGGGUUGGUCACCACAAAAAAUGACCCUGUCCACAAUAUGCAUUCAUUUAUGAUUCAUAUAAAAAUAUGAACAAAAACAGCUUUAUGCAACUGUAUUAUGUGUGAAUAUAAAAUUGCUUUUCGCUUUAAAGCCUAAGAGCGUCUCAGUAAGAAUUUAUACCCAUAUGUGACCUUCUACUGUUAUCUUAUCAGCUUUGGGAGGAAAUGUUAAGUAGCACAAGCUCUGAGGGCCUUGAGAUACCAAAUGUGAUGAAACUAUCAGAUAAUAGAAACCAAAUAAUUAGAUCAGGAUGGUGAACUUGCACAGUAAUUCUUAUCGUCACUUAAAGCAACUCAAAAUGUCUUUAUUGUAAUGUCUUUUUUAUUAAUAAUGACAAUCCUAUAGUUGUUGCCUUGUUGAUGGAGGUCUUCCUUUUGGUUUUACUGAACCACUGGUUGAGAAGUUUCAUCAAAGUUGUGUAAAAGCUGAUGACGACCCAGAGAAAAGUGGGAUAUUUGAAGAAGUGGGAUGUCUGAUUGGGCUAAACACAUUUUAUUACAUUAUAGUGAAAGUCAGUCACAUAUUGUAAGAACAUGUACGAUAAUGUCAAGUAUGGAGUUUCAUCUCCAGUUCUACUUUCAGACUUGUCCCUCUUUAUAAAAUGCCCCACAACUCAAACUGAACCUAGAGCAAAUAUCUGUUACCUUUUUUUUUUUUUUUUUUUUUCCGUUGUGAACUUCUGCUCAAAGGAAGCACAAUGUGAGGGGUUCAGUGUGUGUCAGAUACAUACAUGUGUGAAACAUGUCAGUCUGUUCUUCCUGCCUUCCAACAUGUGUGAAUCAUGGCAUCUCACACAUUUGUUUGAGCUCAUAAUAAAAACAUGUUUGACUGAA